rnacentral:rRNA from 1 species
CCUACGGGUGGCUGCAGUGGGGAAUAUUGCACAAUGGGCGCAAGCCUGAUGCAGCCAUGCCGCGUGUGUGAAGAAGGCCUUCGGGUUGUAAAGCACUUUCAGCGGGGAGGAAGGCGUUAAGGUUAAUAACCUUGGCGAUUGACGUUACCCGCAGAAGAAGCACCGGCUAACUCCGUGCCAGCAGCCGCGGUAAUACGGAGGGUGCAAGCGUUAAUCGGAAUUACUGGGCGUAAAGCGCACGCAGGCGGUCUGUCAAGUCGGAUGUGAAAUCCCCGGGCUCAACCUGGGAACUGCAUUCGAAACUGCAGGCUAGAGUCUUGUAGAGGGGGGUAGAAUUCCAGGUGUAGCGGUGAAAUGCGUAGAGAUCUGGAGGAAUACCGGUGGCGAAGGCGGCCCCCUGGACAAAGACUGACGCUCAGGUGCGAAAGCGUGGGGAGCAAACAGGAUUAGAUACCCGAGUAGUC